rnacentral:rRNA from 1 species
GCUGCUUUGCUGACGAGUGGCGGACGGGUGAGUAAUGUCUGGGAAACUGCCUGAUGGAGGGGGAUAACUACUGGAAACGGUAGCUAAUACCGCAUAAUGUCGCAAGACCAAAGAGGGGGACCUUCGGGCCUCUUGCCAUCGGAUGUGCCCAGAUGGGAUUAGCUAGUAGGUGGGGUAAAGGCUCACCUAGGCGACGAUCCCUAGCUGGUCUGAGAGGAUGACCAGCCACACUGGAACUGAGACACGGUCCAGACUCCUACGGGAGGCAGCAGUGGGGAAUAUUGCACAAUGGGCGCAAGCCUGAUGCAGCCAUGCCGCGUGUAUGAAGAAGGCCUUCGGGUUGUAAAGUACUUUCAGCGGGGAGGAAGGGAGUAAAGUUAAUACCUUUGCUCAUUGACGUUACCCGCAGAAGAAGCACCGGCUAACUCCGUGCCAGCAGCCGCGGUAAUACGGAGGGUGCAAGCGUUAAUCGGAAUUACUGGGCGUAAAGCGCACGCAGGCGGUUUGUUAAGUCAGAUGUGAAAUCCCCGGGCUCAACCUGGGAACUGCAUCUGAUACUGGCAAGCUUGAGUCUCGUAGAGGGGGGUAGAAUUCCAGGUGUAGCGGCGAAAUGCGUAGAGAUCUGGAGGAAUACCGGUGGCGAAGG